GCCAUCGUGGUGUAGUGGUAGCACACUUGACGCAUAUUCAAAAGGUCCAGGUUUGAAUCCCAGCAAGGGCA
rnacentral:tRNA from 1 species